CUAAUUUAGAUGUAUUUAAGGAGCUGGGUUCUCUGACCUCCACAAAUUAGAAGAUAUAAAUUUAAAAGGGAACUCUGUCCCAUGAUGUAUAGUUCCUUUCCACAACAUUGGAGAAGCGGAACCUUGAGUCUGUGCCUGAAUAUUCCUAUAAUCUUUCAGAGUCCUAUAGACAGUGACUGAGCAGAAAAAAUAUGCAAGAAAUGUGU
rnacentral:snoRNA from 1 species